AAGAGAAUAAAGCUUGUCUUUGAACUUUGAACUUUUUCUUUGAAGAGCAUCGAAGCCCACCGGUUCAGGAGUCGGAGCCAGAACUUUGUGGGUUUCGGAGUCAGAGGCUUGGCCACGCCCCCUGCCUGCAAAGUACGCACCUGGAUCAAAUUACUCAACCUCUGGGUCUUACUCGGAGACACGCCUCCGGGAGCCUUCAGACGGCUGAAACCUGAGCCAGCCGCCGCUAGUCUCUGACCCCGACCCGCCCAGCCCGUCGUCGGGGCUCAAACCAAGUGUGCCUUGUUGAUGGAUGACACCGAGGCUUUUCACCCCAUUUGCUCAACCGCAAAACUGCGCUCUUAGAGCAAGAGAGAAGUCAGCAGGCACGGCAGGGACCCCGCGGGGGCGGGUACGGGGAUCUGGUUCUGACCGCUGUGGACGACCCGCCGCAGCCCUAAGGAGUGAUCCGGGCACUGCCCACCCGCCCGGGGCUCGUGUCUGAACCAGCCCCUGCGAGGUCGAGGCCCGAGGCCCACACUGACCUUGGACUGGGCGCUCGCCGGCAGGUCGAGGAUCCGAGAAGACAGGGGACCCGCGUUCUCCACUGGACCUAAACGAGUGGAUGGGUCGGACGACCCUCAAAGCCUGAGGCUUUGAGCCGGGUUUUCAAGCCGGGGAAAGGUUGAGGGGAGAUCCGACCGCGCUGCAGCUCGUGGACACCCCCUCGGAGAGUGUGCGCGCCCUGUGAAUGUCUCCAUAGAAGGAUCCGGAAAAGCGGCGGGAUGCAUCGACCUUUGCCUGUGGGGAUUUCAAGAUACGUGUCUUAUUCACGCAUCGGUUCAUUUGUUCGUUCAUUUCUUGAGCUCCCACCCCGUGCUGGGAACUGUGCGGUGUGCACUCUUCACCUCGAUUUCGACAAACACAAAUAAACAGCCCCGACUAAUCAGAGUGAGGUGAAAUUCACUGACCCGAAAGUCUCCUGGGACAGGCUGGGUAGGGGUGGGGGGAGGGGGGCUCUGAAACCCCCGCAACUUCCCCC